AUUGAACGCUGGCGGCAUGCUUUACACAUGCAAGUCGAACGGCAGCGCGGGCUUCGGCCUGGCGGCGAGUGGCGAACGGGUGAGUAAUGCAUCGGAACGUGCCCAGUAGUGGGUGAUAGCCCGGCGAAAGCCGGAUUAAUACCGCAUACGACCUGCGGGUGAAAGCGGGGGACCGAAAGGCCUUGCGCUAUUGUGGCGGCGGAUGUCGGAUUGGCUAGUUGGUGGGGUAAAGGCUUACCAAGGCGACGAUCCGUAGCUGGUCUGAGAGGACGACCAGCCACACUGGGACGGAGACACGGCCCAGACUCCUACGGGAGGCAGCAGUGGGGAAUGUUGGACAAUGGGGGCAACCCUGAUCCAGCCAUGCCGCGUGCGGGAAGAAGGCCUUCGGGUUGUAAACCGCUUUUGUUCGGGAAGAAAUCCUCUGGGCUAAUACCCCGGGGGGAUGACGGUACCGGAAGAAUAAGCACCGGCUAACUACGUG
rnacentral:rRNA from 1 species